GUGGGGAAUAUUGGGCAAUGGGGGCAACCCUGACCCAGCGACGCCGCGUGAGGGAAGAAGGCCUUAGGGUCGUAAACCUCUGUUGUGUGGGAAGAAGGAAGUGACGGUACCACACGAGGAAGUCCCGGCUAACUACGUGCCAGCAGCCGCGGUAAAACGUAGGUGGCGAACGUUAUUCGGAUUUACUGGGCGUAAAGCGGGUGUAGACGGCUGUUUAAGUCGAAUGUGAAAUCUCCUGACCUAAUCAGGAUGGGUCGUUCGAUACUGAAUAGCUCGAGGGCAUCAGAGGAAGACAGAAUUCCCGGUGUAGCGGUGAAAUGCGUAGAUAUCGGGAGGAAUACCAGUGGCGAAGGCGGUCUUCUAGGAUGUUCCUGACGUUGAGGCCCAAAAGCGUGGGGAGCAAAACGGAUUAGAUACCCUGGUAGUCC
rnacentral:rRNA from 1 species